CUACAGUGAUUCACAGCUGGUCGUGAAUCAAGUUCUAGGAAAAUAUCAAGCACGAGGCUUAAAAAUGGUGGCCUACUUAAAUAAAACAAAAGACUUGCUAGCCCAAUUUAUGGAGUACACCCUUCAGCAAAUUCCGCGGGAUCAAAAUUCAAACGCAGAUGCCUUAGCCAAACUCGCGAGCGCGAAGGAUGCUGACACUUUGAACAUUGUGCCGGUAGAAAGACCGAGUAAGCCAAGCAUACAAGCGGUCGAAUCCAGUAUGGAGAUUCAAAUGGAGGAUACAUGGAUGACACCUUAUUUGGAGUAUCUGAUAAACGGUACGCUACCAGCGGAUAGAAACAAAGCCAGAACCCUACAAAGGCGAGCUGCUAGGUACAUACUGGUCGGUGGAGUUAUGUACCGAAGAGGAUAUUCCUUGCCGCUACUCAGAUGCGUUACACCAGAAAAAGCUAAGGAACUCAUGAAAGAGGUGCAUGAAGGCUUCUGUGGGGAUCAUGCUGGGGGGCAGAGUUUGGCAAAGAAGAUUCUAAGGCAAGGCUACUUCUGGCCAACUAUGAACAAGGAUUCAAUGGAGUUUGUACGAAGAUGCGAUAAAUGUCAAAGAUUCUCCAAAAUUCCACGAGCAGCUCCGAACGAAUUAAAACAGAUGCAAAGUCCAUGGCCUUUUGCAGUAUGGGGGAUAGAUUUGAUUGGAUCCCUACCUACGGGGAAGGGCGGAGUAAAGUACGCAGUCGUAGCAGUCGAUUACUUCACCAAAUGGGCCGAAGCUGAACCGCUUGCUACCAUCACGACCAAGAAAGUUCUUGACUUUGUUAUCAAGAACAUUGUCUGUUGAUAUGGCUUGCCUAGAAAGAUAGUUUCAGACAACGGAACCCAAUUUGACAGUGAUUUAUUCACUGAUUUUUGCGAAAGACAUGGAGUCAUUAAAAGCUUUUCUUCAGUUGCACACCCCCAGGCGAAUGGGCAGGUCGAAGCCGUGAAUAAAACUCUUAAAGACACCCUGAAGAAGAGGCUUGAAGAAGCUAAGGGAGCGUGGCCAGAGCAACUGCCUGAAGUCCUCUAGUCGUAUAGAACGUCUCACCGAACAGCGACAGGACAUACCCCAUUUUCCUUAGCCUAUGGAUAUGAGGCAAUGUUGCCUGUCGAAUUAGAUCCCCCCUCACAUCGACGCCUAACAUACGACCAAGACCAGAACAGCCAACUGAUGAUGGAAUCCCUAGACUCGAUUGACGAGAUACGGGAGAAGGCCCAACUCCGAGUUGCUGCAUACCAACAAAAAGUUGCCCGGUACUUUAACUCCAAAGUUAAAGAAAGAAAAUUCAACGUCGGAGACUUGGUACUACGACGAGUUUUCUUAAAUACCCGACCCUACUGCUGGAGUGCUUGGACCUAAUUGGGAAGGACCUUACCAGAUUGAAGAAGUCCUUCAUCCGGGCACCUACAAACUUGCACGCUUAAACGGAGAUCUCGUUCCACGUUAUUGGAAUGGAGAACAUCUGCGCAAGUAUUAUCAAUGAACAAUCCUUUUUGAAGGACUGGCUUGUAUUAAUUUUUCUUUUUACAAGUUCAGCAAAGAGGGUUAGCCACACUGUAUGGCUAAUCGCUCGUAUAUGUAAGUUUCUAUUUCAGAAUCGCUCGUAAAGACAUGUUUAGUCCAUUUUUAUUACGAGAUUAUAAGGGACUGUGCGUAGCCAGUCAUUCUUGCCAACCUUUGUGAAUUUAUAUUUACAAGUAUUUGUUCAUUACGUGUGUUGUUUUGCUGUAUUACAAGUAUUACUUUUUCACCCGAGCAGAAAUGUUCGAACAGUUCAUGGUCAAGGCAAGUGACCAAGGACCUAAAGCUCCUCAAUCACUUGGGGGGCAUAUAAGGCACAUCGAUAGCAAAGCGUACCAUGAGGUAUGUAAACACAUGAACAAAAUGAGUGAAAGCAUGAUAAGGUACUUAGAGUAUUUUUCAAAAUUUAUAUUUUGUUAAAUCAUGCCAAAGUACUAUGUUAAGUUUGGUCAUACAGACAAAUGUUAUAAUAAAUGAAAAUGUUAUAGCAUCAUGCAAUCUUUUACACCGCAAGCAUCAGUGCUUGGAUGCAACUGUCCAAGUAAAAGAAAAGGUUUACUGCCCGUGCAGCAAAGUUUAAAAUAAAAAUAUUGUCUUACAUCACGACCCGUGGGUCGUGUAAUCAAAAGAUAGAGAAAAUAAAAAAAAAAACUCAAGAAGCACUGGGAGCAGGAGGGUCUUUAUCAGCAUUCUGAUUGGACGCGUCCUCAACAACCCCUUCUUCUUCAGCACCAGCCAAGCUUGGGGAAGCAGGGAUCCUCGCUCUUGCCUCCUCUUCAGCCAGUUGAGCAGUGCAGCGAGCCAGCUCAGCAGUCCAGACAUCCUCUGAAAGAUAGCUGAAGUCGGCACCCUGAUUGUGUUUCCAGAAGUUGUAAAAACACCGGAGCGUCGUCUUCUUAUACCUGUCCAGAUUUUUGGAGUUGUCGAGCUUUAGUUGCUCCACCUGGCCCUCAAGAGUGACGAUGGCCUCGUCCUUGGACUUAAGCACCUCUUCCAACCUCUUGACUUCGCGAAGAUGGGUUCGGCUGGCAUCUUGAUAAUCCUGCCUCUGCUUUAUUAUAGCUGCCUUUGUAGCUUCGGCCUCUGAUAGCUUUGUCACCGCAGCAUCCCUCUGCUGAGCCAUCACCUCCAACUCCUUUGCGUGCCUGGCCUCUGCAACCGAAAGUUCCUCGGCUGCCUUCACCUGGUGCCUCUCGAUAGCCUUUGCCUUAGCCUGUUCAAUAGUGGCUUGGGUGCGGGUGCGAGCAGUGGUGGUAGACAGCAAAGCCUGAGGACAAAGGAUAAAAGUUAGAACCUGUGGCAAAGACUAAAAGACUGAAGCCAAAAAGAUAAAGAAGUACUUACGCUGGUUAUUUCGUUCAGGGUCCUGUUCAGAAUCAGGUCGAUCGUCAUACUCUCUGCCUCAACCAUUGCAUCCUUGACGCGGUCAUUUUUCCCAAUGUUCACAAUACGGUCUUUGGCUGCUCGUACGGCACGGCUCGAGAGUUCGGCCCCAAGAUUUUCUUCCCUCUUGUCUUGUUCCCUUCUGGGCGCAGCCGGAGGAGGGUUCAUUGGAGCAGGGGGAGUCUCCUUCUCAGCAGGGGCCGGAGGAUGAGCAGAAGUUUGUCCAGUAGGCACGCCCCUAGGAGGGUCUUCUGUUCGACUCUUUUUUGCAGGUCCCUGACUCGUCUCGCCAGUAUGUCUCCGUGACGAUUUUCUCCGAAGCUGAGGAACUUCCUUUUCCUCCUCAGCCUGGUAUAAGUCGAAGACAUUGAGAGUGGCCAUAUCUGCACAUAAAUAAAAACAUGCAAAGGGUAAAGAUAAAAGCAGAUGAAGACUCUUUAUCAAAACGAAAAAGAAGGUCACAAAGUUAGUACCCGAGCUACAACUACUGGUCGCUAUACUAUUGACCCUAUUAGUCACACACUCACUAUCUGGCAUGAAGAAGUCUGGCCCUAGAUUUGAAGUAUAUGUAAAGUUGCCCUCCCCGUCAAACAAAUGACAGGGAAUUGGCAAACUAUUUAAAAGCAAAAUAAUUUUACCGUUCUCAUCAGAGGAUUCCCCCAGAUCCACAACUGGCUCUUUGGCCUUUUGUUUCCCCUUUCCUUGGGGAGCAGAAGGCCUUUCUGUGGAAGGAUUGCCCGUGGGCUCCCUGAUUGUAACCCCCGUCGGCCUCCUUCGAGGAGGAGACACGGGAGGUUGCUGCUCGGGAACCCCCUCGGCAGUGGCAUCGUCUACCACGGACUCUCUUGUUUCAUGGCAAGGAGCCAGGAGGCCAGACAGCCUCAAGCUUUCAUCGGUAACCAGGGACUUGACGCUUUUUGCUGCGUCUGUCAUCCUGGCCAAUGUGUUGGACCUCAACACCAUGUCUGGUUUUGGGGUUGGGCGUAACCAUGGGCCUGAAAGACAAAGUAUAGUUUGAGAAAAAUGAAAGGAGACUCUUUGAUUAAAAGUAUUGACCAGUCAAAGACGGCACUUACCUCCUCGAGCGAAGGCCAAGUUGUUGCUGGUUAUGUCCGGUGUAAGGAAAUACUCCUUACUGUACUGCCUCACGUUCGAUAUGUGCAUAGUGUCACUCAAGAAUGUCCGGUUUGUCUCCUGGUGACAGAAGUAGAAGAAACCCGUUCCAUAUUGUUGCGGGUUGGAUUUAAGGUCGAAAAGAUAAUUGACCUCGUGGGGAGAAGGUUUUGGCCAUUUUUUAAGUUUGUACAAGAUAUAGAGUGCGGCCAGCAUUCUAUAUCCGUUUGGAGUAAUUUGGAAGGGGGCGACGUCGAAAUAAUUCGCCACCCCCUGAUAAAAAGGAUGUAGAGGGAGGAAAUCCCCCGCCUCUAUGUGAUACCAAGACCAGGUGCUGUAUAUACCUCCGGGGAGGUUAGUCCUUUGGUUUGCGGCAGGAAUUUUGAUAGUAACCCCUGUGAGGGGAUACUUCCUGAAAUAGUUAGCAACCAUCCGAAGGGUCACUACGCUGGUCGGGGAAGUAUACCACUCGACAUCAGGCAGAUUCUGAUGACGAGGGCGGGCUCUAAUUUGGAUGUUAGGGUCAGGAACAGGAUCGUCUCGACCGCUGGUCGAGGGAGCCCUAGCCUGCAAAUCAGGCUGGGCAGGAAGGUUUGGGCUAUUAUCAGAUUCAGGCCUACAGACUUGGAACGGGCCAUUUGAGGAGGAGAAGGACGAGGUCUGAAGGAGGAUCGUGAGAAGGGAAUCUUGUAGACUCGGUCGGCUGGUUGUUCUUCGCCUUCGAGUAGCUGGGCGAGAAGAUCGUCGUCGAUGGGCCGUUCACCUCCCCACAAAUCUGGCAUCAGUGUCUGCAAACAGAAAAAUGGGGAGGUGAGGAUGAAGAAUUUUUAAAGGCUUUUUAGAAUAGCGCUGGUCGAGUAUAAAAGCCAAGCUUUUAUACAUCAGCAUUCUAACAAAAAGCUAAAUUUUCCGCACGAACAGUUUGAAAGUAAAAAGUUUUUCAAGAAAGUUUUUUCAACUCCCCUUAGGGCGGAAAAAAACCUAUUUUCCAACUAGCCUAAAGAUCGAAUUUUUACUUCGACUUUACGUCCUAAAAGUAUGAUCCCGACUAUUACACUAACAAGUAACCCUUUUUUGCCUACAAAAUAUUCUACUCACAAGUGUCUCAAACCAGAAACAGAUGAACUCAAACAGUUAUCAUACAGAAGCAUGCAUCAUGAAAAUUUGAAGCAUAAGAAUUCAAAAACUCACCAAGAAAAUGAUCGUGGAGAUGGAAAAAGGGUCUUCGGAGUUCAGGGAACUCUCGGACUGAAUCUUGAAAAUGCAGAAGAACGGUCUCCGGAGAAGGUUAAAACUCUGGUUUUUAGGGUUUCUUGUGAGGACAAUGGCGUGCGUAAAGAGAAAAGGAAGAUUUUGAAGGUAUUAUAUAAGUUUGUCUGUGGCAUUGAAAAGGUGUAAUCAUCAGUUUCUCUUUUUCGAAGUAUGGGGAAGCGGAAUGGCCGUCGAUUUAUUACUGGGGAACCGAAAAGUCAUGAUUAGACAGAAGUAGGUUACUUUUUCCAAGAACACACGAAGGGUUCUGACACGUAUGGUGGGGUUACCGAAGUGUCGUUCGCUCAAAAGUUUAUUUAUUGCUCGUGAUAAAUAAACUUGGGGGGCAAAUUUUAUCCAAAAAAUUAGCAUUGAUGACGUGGCAAGUGAUCCCUAGACACGUGGCUGACACCUGGAAGAGCUCUGCUAGGGUAUCAACCAGAGGAUGCACUAGAAGCAGUAAGCCGCCCGGUCUUACCUGCGACCAGCCUGGUCGAUGGUUCAGCAUACAAAGUAACAUUACUGUGAAGAUCUUCGUAUAUCCCGAAUUUAACUCACUCAAUCUCCGGAAUGUCCGAUGAUUCAGGGGAGAGUAUCUGUAACAAUCUUUUGUAAUCUCCCUUGAGCCUACAAAUAGCAAAAGAUAGCUCAAGGAAGGGACUUUUGGCUUGGAAUAUUGUAUUGUUCUUCAGAGGCUAGUGAAACUCAUUGAGCCCUUGUUCUUUGAUCACUCAUUUGAUUCCUAUAUCAAUAACAGUCUAAGUGGACGUAGGUUAUUACCAGAUCCUGGGGCCGAACCACUAUAAAAAUAUCGUGUUCUUAUUACUUUUUCAUCAUUACGUUAUUAUCAACACAUUUAUUUAUAUCAAGCAUAUUCUGACUCCGUGUCAGUUGACCAAAUUCUGGGUCAACAAUGUGUACUAUUGUAAUUAAGUUCUUUUUUGUGAUUCAUUUUUUUUACAUUCAUUGAUUUUGGUAUAUAUAUAUCUAUAUAUAAAUAUGUUUUUGUUGGAUAUUUCUUUCAGGUAUUAUUAUGGUUAAUUAUAUUUAUGGUAUUCAUCUUUUUUGGCCAAUGAUGUUAAAAUAAUGAGGAUGCUUAUUAUGUUGGUGAUUAUAGGAUUUAUUGUGCUCUUAUAUUUUUUAAAGGCAUACAAAUUGUCAUAAAUGCCUAUAAUAAGUCUUUUUUUCUUUCCGAAAUCCUUAUGAUGAUUAAAUUAGGGGUAUUCUAUUAUUAAAUUGGGAAUUUUGUUAUACGGUAAUUCACAACAUCAUUGGUCUCCCAACCGUCUCAAAUCUUGUCGGCAUUCUUACAAGGGAAUAUCAUAGGACUGACUUUUAAGGUGGAUGCCUAGAUUUAUUAGGAAGAAUAUUGAGAAAAGAAACAUGAUUGAGUUUGCAGUGAUUUAGAGAAGAGAAUUAUGUUGUCUUGUUGAGAUUUGUUGUAUUAUAUAUUUGUAAGUUUAUAGAUUUAUAAUAUUAUAAUGAAUUUUUAUUAAUAAUUAUUUAAUCUCAUGGGGAUUUGAUGUAUUAUUUACAUUUCAAUUGUAUGAAUAAAUGUUGUAUGUAUAUGAA